CCUACGGGUGGCAGCAGUGGGGAAUAUUGCACAAUGGGGGAAACCCUGAUGCAGCGACGCCGCGUGAGUGAGGAAGUAUUUAGGUAUGUAAAGCUCUAUCAGCAGGGAAGAAAAUGACGGUACCUGACUAAGAAGCCCCGGCUAACUACGUGCCAGCAGCCGCGGUACUACGGAGGGGGCAAGCGUUAUCCGGAUUUACUGGGUGUAAAGGGAGCGUAGACGGCUAAUCAAGUCAGAAGUGAAAACCCAGGGCUCAACCUUGGGACUGCUGUUGAAACUGCGUAGCUAGAGUGCAGGGGAGGUAGGCGGAAUUCGUAGUGUAGCGGUGAAAUGCGUAGAUAUGAGGAAGAACACCAGUGGCGAAGGCAGCUUACUGGACUGUAACUGACGUUGAGGCUCGAAAGCGUGGGGAGCAAACAGGAUUAGAUACCCCUGUAGUC
rnacentral:rRNA from 1 species